rnacentral:rRNA from 1 species
CUGUCGUCAGCUCGUGUUGUGAAAUGUUGGGUUAAGUCCCGCAACGAGCGCAACCCUUAUCCUUUGUUGCCAGCGGUUAGGCCGGGAACUCAAAGGAGACUGCCAGUGAUAAACUGGAGGAAGGUGGGGAUGACGUCAAGUCAUCAUGGCCCUUACGAGUAGGGCUACACACGUGCUACAAUGGCGCAUACAAAGAGAAGCGACCUCGCGAGAGCAAGCGGACCUCAUAAAGUGCGUCGUAGUCCGGAUUGGAGUCUGCAACUCGACUCCAUGAAGUCGGAAUCGCUAGUAAUCGUGUC